CAGCUACACAUGCAGUCGACGGCAGCACAGGGGAGCUUGCUCCCUGGGUGGCGAGUGGCGGACGGGUGAGGAACACAUCGGAAUCUGCCUAUUUGUGGGGGAUAACCUCGGGAAACCGGGACUAAUACCGCAUACGACCUACGGGUGAAAGCGGAGGACCUUCGGGCUUCGCGCAGAUAGAUGAGCCGAUGUCGGAUUAGCUAGUUGGAGGGGUAAAGGCCCACCAAGGCGACGAUCCGUAGCUGGUCUGAGAGGAUGAUCAGCCACACUGGGACUGAGACACGGCCCAGACUCCUACGGGAGGCAGCAGUGGGGAAUAUUGGACAAUGGGCGAAAGCCUGAUCCAGCCAUGCCGCGUGAGUGAAGAAGGCCCUCGGGUUGUAAAGCUCUUUUGUUGGGAAAGAAAAGCAGCCGGUUAAUACCCGGUUGUUCUGACGGUACCCAAAGAAUAAGCACCGGCUAACUUCGUGCCAGCAGCCGCGGUAAUACGAAGGGUGCAAGCGUUACUCGGAAUUACUGGGCGUAAAGCGUGCGUAGGUGGUUCGUUAAGUCUGAUGUGAAAGCCCUGGGCUCAACCUGGGAAUUGCAUUGGAUACUGGCGGGCUAGAGUACGGUAGAGGGUGGCGGAAUUCCUGGUGUAGCAGUGAAAUGCGUAGAU
rnacentral:rRNA from 1 species